rnacentral:rRNA from 1 species
UUAUUNNNAUUNNCCUUUUGNGCUANCCCUAUUACCGCCGGUGAUGGCGGUCGAUGUGAAUGAUGCUAGCCCUCCUCCCGCUGGAAAGUGCUUUACAAUUUCUUAGGCCUUCUUCACACACGCGGCAUGGCUGGAUCAGGGUUGCCCCCAUUGUCCAAUAUUCCCCACUGCUGCCUACCGUAGGAGUCUGGACCGUGUCUCAGUUCCAGUGUGGCUGAUCAUCCUCUCAGACCAGCUACAGAUCGCCGCCUUGGUAGGCCUUUACCCUACCAACUAGCUAAUCCGACGCAGGCUCAUCUAAUAGCGCAAGGUCCGAACAUCCCUUGCUUUCCCCCGUAGGGCGUAUGCGGUAUUAAUCCCAGUUUACCCUGGCUAUCCCCCUCUAUUAGGUAGAUUCCUACGCGUUACUUACCCGUUCGCCGUCGACUACUGGGAUCAAGCUACCUUCGUUUUCGCCCGACUUGNAUGUGUUA